rnacentral:rRNA from 1 species
UGCGUAGGGCGCGAGCGUUAUUCGGAAUUACUGGGCGUAAAGCGUGCGCAGGCGGUUAUGGAAGUCAGGUGUGAAAUCCCCGGGCUUAACCUGGGAACUGCAUUUGUGACUGCAUCGCUGGAGUGCGGCAGAGGGGGAUGGAAUUCCGCGUGUAGCAGUGAAAUGCGUAGAUAUGCGGAGGAACACCGAUGGCGAAGGCAAUCCCCUGGGCCUGUACUGACGCUCAUGCACGAAAGCGUGGGGAGCAAACAGG